rnacentral:rRNA from 1 species
UACGUAGGGUGCAAGCGUUAAUCGGAAUUACUGGGCGUAAAGCGUGCGCAGGCGGUUGUGCAAGACAGAUGUGAAAUCCCCGGGCUUAACCUGGGAAUUGCAUUUGUGACUGCACGGCUAGAGUGUGUCAGAGGGGGGUAGAAUUCCACGUGUAGCAGUGAAAUGCGUAGAGAUGUGGAGGAACACCGAUGGCGAAGGCAGCCCCCUGGGCCAAUACUGACGCUCAUGCACGAAAGCGUGGGGAGCAAACAGG